rnacentral:rRNA from 1 species
AGGAUUAACGCUGGCGGCGUGCCUAACACAUGCAAGUCGAACGAGGUAGCAAUACCUAGUGGCAGACGGGUGAGUAGCGCGUGGUCAACCUACCGUUGAGUGGGGGAUAACUAGCCGAAAGGUUAGCUAAUACCGCAUACGUCUCCGAGGGGCAUCCCUUGGCGAUAAAAGGAGCAAUCCGCUCGAUGACGGGACCGCGUCCCAUUAGCUAGUUGGUGGGGUAACGGCCUACCAAGGCAUCGAUGGGUAGCUGGUUUGAGAGAGCGACCAGCCACACUGGGACUGAGAUACGGCCCAGACUCCUACGGGAGGCAGCAGUGAGGAAUUUUCCGCAAUGGGCGAAAGCCUGACGGAGCGACGCCGCGUGUGGGAAGAAGGGCCUUCGGGUCGUAAACCGACUGUCGAAGGGAAGGAUAAUGACGGUACCCUUGGAGGAAGCCCCGGCUAACUACGUGCCAGCAGCCGC